rnacentral:lncRNA from 10 species
CCUUGCAUCCCAGGGAUGAAGCCCACUUGAUCAUCGCGGAUAAGCUUUUUGAUAUGCUGCUGGAUUCGGUUUACCAAGAUGGCCGAAUAGGAACAUCUCCAGUCUAGAGCUCCCAGCAUGAGUGACACAGAAGACGGGUGAUUUCUGCAUUUCCAACUGAGGUACCGGGCUCAUCUCACUGGGGAGUGUCAGAAAGUGGGUGCAGGACAGUGGGUGCAGGGCACAGAGCAUGAGCCAAAGCAGGGCGAGGCAUCGCGUCACCCAGGAAGCACAAGGGGUCAGGGAAUUCCUUUUCCUAGUCAAAGAAAGGAGUGACAGAUGGCACCUGGAAAAUCGGGUCACUCCCACCCUAAUACUGUGCUUUUCCAGUGGUCUUAGCAAACGGCACACCAGGAGAUUAUAUCCGGCACCUGGCUCGGAGGGUCCUAUGCUCAUGGAGCCUUGCUUAUUGCUAGCAGAGCAGUGUGAGAUCAAACUUCAAGGCGGCAGCAAGGCUGGGGGAGGGGCGCCUGCCAUUGCCGAGGCUUGAGUAGGUAAACAAAGCGGCCAGGAAGCUCGAACUGGGUGGAGCCCACUGCAGCUCAAGGAGGCCUGCCUUCCUC